rnacentral:rRNA from 1 species
AUACGGAGGGUGCAAGCGUUACUCGGAAUCACUGGGCGUAAAGCGCGCGCAGGCGGUCUUUUAAGUUGGAUGUGAAAGCCUACGGCUCAACCGUAGAACUGCAUCCAAAACUAUUAGACUAGAGUGUGGGAGAGGAAGAUGGAAUUAGUUGUGUAGGGGUAAAAUCCGUAGAGAUAACUAGGAAUACCAAAAGCGAAGGCAAUCUUCUGGAACACUACUGACGCUGAGGCGCGAAAGCGUGGGGAGCAAACAGGAUUAGAAACCCCUGUAGUCC